rnacentral:lncRNA from 1 species
ACAUUCAUAUAAAAAUGAUAUAUUCACAAUCAAUCCAUUCAGGGAAACAACGUAUCAAAAAAUGGCAUGAAUCAGACCAGGGGUUCAGAAGUUAGUAAAGUAUCUUUUGGGGCCUGGCUGGCAGCAUGGCUAUCUGGCCCAAACUGGUUUUACAGAGCCCUCUAGCCUGGAGACAAUGGGGAAAGUAAUCCAAUUAUCCAGGGAUAAAAGCAGACUCCACUGAGCACAUGUUCCCAGUAAAACACAAAAGGAUACAAAAAUACAUAACUCCUAUCAUACUGAAUUGAACGGGCCAAAUCUCCCAGUGUCCAUAGUCACAGGGCAAGAGGCGGGCAAGCAGUCCUCUCCAGGCACAAGUGGUGAAGGGCACUUCGUCACAGUUAGGUAUUCAGUCGGCAUGCGAAUAGAUCCACAUGCAGGGGUCCCCAGAGGUUGGCAAUUUCCUUGAAUAUGGAAGGUUGAAG